AUGAUGCAAUGCACAAUACAACAAGCAUUCUAUUUAAAAGUGCACCCCACCCGGAAGUUUUGUUUUUAAACUCUAUUUAAUCAUUCAUAGAAACCAUUUGAAAACCUUUUUAAAACUGUUUCCCACUCGGAAACUUCACUUUUGAAAACUGACUACCUCGAGGGGUAGAAAAUCACAAUGCAUAAAUACAAAAGUCCGAGAACCACUUAUCCAUAAAACCAAAACCACAUAUCUAAAAUCUCCAAUCACAUGCGUAAAAGGAAAUCACCAACUCAACAGUUCACAAAUACUCAAACAGUAUUAUUGAUCAUCUAACUGAACCAUUCAUUAUUAAAAACUACUAAGUGCGGGAAUGAAAUAUAACUAGGGUAACGAUCGCUACUGCAGUCUAGCUAGUACGUCCUCCCGUCGCGCAUAAAAACCAACUCCUCGCCUGA
rnacentral:lncRNA from 1 species